CACUUAUAGAUGGACCCGCGCCGUAUUAGCUAGUUGGUAAGGUAACGGCUUACCAAGGCGACGAUACGUAGCCGACCUGAGAGGGUGAUCGGCCACACUGGAACUGAGACACGGUCCAGACUCCUACGGGAGGCAGCAGUAGGGAAUCUUCCGCAAUGGGCGAAAGCCUGACGGAGCAACGCCGCGUGAGUGAUGAAGGUCUUCGGAUCGUAAAACUCUGUUAUUAGGGAAGAACAUACGUGUAAGUAACUAUGCACGUCUUGACGGUACCUAAUCAGAAAGCCACGGCUAACUACGUGCCAGCAGCCGCGGUAAUACGUAGGUGGCAAGCGUUAUCCGGAAUUAUUGGGCGUAAAGCGCGCGUAGGCGGUUUUUUAAGUCUGAUGUGAAAGCCCACGGCUCAACCGUGGAGGGUCAUUGGAAACUGGAAAACUUGAGUGCAGAAGAAGAAAGUGGAAUUCCAUGUGUAGCGGUGAAAUGCGCAGAGAUAUGGAGGAACACCAGUGGCGAAAGCGACUUUCUGGUCUGUAACUGACGCUCAUGUGCGAAAGCGUGGGGAUCAAACAGGAUUAGAUACCCUGGUAGUCCACGCCGUAAACGAUGAGUGCUAAAUGUUAUGGGGGUGUCCCCCCCUUAGUGCUGCGGCUAACGCAUUAUGCACUCUCCCUGGGGAGUACGACCGCAAGGUUGAGACUCACAGGAAUUGACGGGGACGCGCACCAACGGUGGAGCAUGUGGUUUAUUUCUAAGCAACGCGGAGGAACCUUACCAAAUCUUGACAUCGUUUGACAACUCUCCAG
rnacentral:rRNA from 1 species